AACGAACGCUGGCGGCAUGCCUAACACAUGCAAGUCGAACGAGACCUUCGGGUCUAGUGGCGCACGGGUGCGUAACGCGUGGGAACCUGCCCUUAUGUUCGGGAUAACUCCCCGAAAGGGGUGCUAAUACCGGAUAAUGUCUUCGGACCAAAGAUUUAUCGCCUUUGGAUGGGCCCGCGUUGGAUUAGCUAGUUGGUAGGGUAAAAGCAUACCAAGGCGACGAUCCAUAGCUGGUCUGAGAGGAUGAUCAGCCACACUGGGACUGAGACACGGCCCAGACUCCUACGGGAGGCAGCAGUGGGGAAUAUUGGAACAUGGGGGAAAGGCUGAUCGAGCUAUGCCGCGUGAGUGAUGAAGGCCUUAGGGUUGUAAAGCUCUUUUACCCGGGAUGAUAAUGACAGUACCGGGAGAAUAAGCCCCGGCUAACUCCGUG
rnacentral:rRNA from 1 species